rnacentral:rRNA from 1 species
UACGAAGGGGGCUAGCGUUGCUCGGAAUUACUGGGCGUAAAGCGCACGUAGGCGGCUUCUUAAGUCGGUGGUGAAAUCCUGGAGCUCAACUCCAGAACUGCCUUCGAUACUGGGAGCUCGAGUCCGGGAGAGGUGAGUGGAACUGCGAGUGUAGAGGUGAAAUUCGUAGAUAUUCGCAAGAACACCAGUAGCGAAGGCGGCUCACUGGCCCGGUACUGACGCUGAGGUGCGAAAGCGUGGGGAGCAAACAGGG